GCACAACCUGCCCCGAGUGGAGGAACCGGGUGGCCCGCAGGAGCUGGUAGAAGAUGGAGCGCACGUGGACGUCCUGCAGCAGGCCGCCCUUCCGGAUGACUGCGUUCAGGGUACACGGUGAGGGAGCAAGCCACUGUGGGCCAGCUGCAGAGGGACACGCAGACGGCGUCAGGACAGGACAGAGGUGGGGCUGGGGCGCUGGCCGGGGCCUCACUCACCCAUAAACUCAAACACCAGGUAAAUGUCCCUGUCGUUCUCUGCCCGGACCACGUCAA
rnacentral:antisense_RNA from 1 species